rnacentral:rRNA from 1 species
UACGGAGGGUGCAAGCGUUGUCCGGAUUUAUUGGGUUUAAAGGGUGCGUAGGCGGCCCGUUAAGUCAGUGGUGAAAGCCUCCAGCUCAACUGGAGAACUGCCAUUGAUACUGACGGGCUUGAGUACAGACGAGAUAGGCGGAAUUGAUUGUGGUAGCGGUGAAAUGCAUAGAUACAAUCAAGAACACCGAUUGCGAUAGGCAGCUUACUAGGCUGUGAACUGACGCUGGAGGCA